AGAGUUUGAUCAUGGCUCAGAUUGAACGCUGGCGGCAGNCCUAACACAUGCAAGUCGAGCGGUAGCACAAGAGAGCUUGCUCUCUGGGUGACGAGCGGCGGACGGGUGAGUAAUGUCUGGGAAACUGCCUGAUGGAGGGGGAUAACUACUGGAAACGGUAGCUAAUACCGCAUAACGUCUUCGGACCAAAGUGGGGGACCUUCGGGCCUCACGCCAUCAGAUGUGCCCAGAUGGGAUUAGCUAGUAGGUGGGUAAUGGCUCACCUAGGCGACGAUCCCUAGCUGGUCUGAGAGGAUGACCAGCCACACUGGAACUGAGACACGGUCCAGACUCCUACGGGAGGCAGCAGUGGGGAAUAUUGCACAAUGGGCGCAAGCCUGAUGCAGCCAUGCCGCGUGUGUGAAGAAGGCCUUCGGGUUGUAAAGCACUUUCAGCGAGGAGGAAGGGUAGUGUGUUAAUAGCACAUUGCAUUGACGUUACUCGCAGAAGAAGCACCGGCUAACUCCGUGCCAGCAGCCGCGGUAAUACGGAGGGUGCAAGCGUUAAUCGGAAUUACUGGGCGUAAAGCGCACGCAGGCGGUUUGUUAAGUCAGAUGUGAAAUCCCCGCGCUUAACGUGGGAACUGCAUUUGAAACUGGCAAGCUAGAGUCUUGUAGAGGGGGGUAGAAUUCCAGGUGUAGCGGUGAAAUGCGUAGANANCNGGAGGAAUACCGGUGGCGAAGGCGGCCCCCUGGACAAAGACUGACGCUCAGGUGCGAAAGCGUG
rnacentral:rRNA from 1 species